rnacentral:rRNA from 1 species
UGCUUAACACAUGCAAGUCGAACGGCAGCACGGUCUAGCUUGCUAGACUGGUGGCGAGUGGCGAACGGGUGAGUAACGCGUAGGAAUAUACCUUAAAGUGGGGGACAACUUGGGGAAACUCAAGCUAAUACCGCAUAAUCUCUUCGGAGAAAAGCUGGGGACCUUCGGGCCUGGCGCUUUAAGAUUAGCCUGCGUACGAUUAGCUAGUUGGUAGGGUAAAGGCCUACCAAGGCGACGAUCGUUAGCUGGUCUGAGAGGAUGACCAGCCACACUGGAACUGAGACACGGUCCAGACUCCUACGGGAGGCAGCAGUGGGGAAUAUUGGACAAUGGGGGCAACCCUGAUCCAGCUAUGCCGCGUGUGUAAAGAAGGCCUGAGGGUUGUAAAGCUC